AUUGAACGCUGGCGGCAUGCCUUACACAUGCAAGUCGAACGGUAACAGGGAGCUUGCUCCGCUGACGAGUGGCGAACGGGUGAGUAAUGUAUCGGAACGUACCUUUCGGUGGGGGAUAACGUAGCGAAAGUUACGCUAAUACCGCAUAUUCUGUGAGCAGGAAAGCAGGGGAUCGCAAGACCUUGCGCUGAUUGAGCGGCCGAUAUCAGAUUAGCUAGUUGGUGAGGUAAAGGCUCACCAAGGCGACGAUCUGUAGCGGGUCUGAAAGGAUGAUCCGCCACACUGGAACUGAGACACGGUCCAGACUCCUACGGGAGGCAGCAGUGGGGAAUUUUGGACAAUGGGGGCAACCCUGAUCCAGCCAUGCCGCGUGAGUGAAGAAGGCCUUCGGGUUGUAAAGCUCUUUCGGCCGGGAAGAAAUCGUAUGGGUUAAUACCCUGUGCGGAUGACGGUACCGGCAUGAGAAGCACCGGCUAACUACGUGCCAGCAGCCGCGGUAAUACGUAGGGUGCGAGCGUUAAUCGGAAUUACUGGGCGUAAAGCGUGCGCAGGCGGUUUUGUAAGGCAGGCGUGAAAUCCCCGGGCUCAACCUGGGAACUGCGCUUGUGACUGCAAGGCUAGAGUAUGGCAGAGGGGGGUG
rnacentral:rRNA from 1 species